rnacentral:rRNA from 1 species
CCUACGGGAGGCAGCAGUGAGGAAUAUUUGUCAAUGGCCGGAAGGCUGAACCAGCCAAGCCGCGUGAAGGACGAAGGUUCCAAGCAUUUUAAACUUCUUUUGUCAAGGGACAAAAUCAGGCUCGAGAGCCUGACCGCGGGUACUUGAAUAAAAAGCAUCGGCUAACUCCGUGCCAGCAGCCGCGGUAAUACGGAGGAUGCGAUCGUUAUCCGGAUUUAUUUGGUUUAAAGGUUGCGUAGGCGGACUGUUAAUGCAGCGGUAAAAGCCCGGGGCUCAACCCCGGAGAGCCGUUGAAACUGGCUGUUUUGAGAUGUCGAGAGGUAUGCGGAAUGCGCGGUGUAGCGGUGAAAUGCUUAGAUAUUGCGCAGAACUCCGAUUGCGAAGGCAGCAUACCGGCGGCGAUCUGACGCUGAGGCACGAAAGCGUGGGUAUCGAACAGGAUUAGAUACCCCUGUAGUC